rnacentral:rRNA from 1 species
UUAGGAAUCUUCCACAAUGGGCGAAAGCCUGAUGGAGCAACGCCGCGUGAAGGAUGAAGGCCCUCGGGUCGUAAACUUCUUUUAUAAGUGAAGAAUAUGACGGUAACUUAUGAAUAAGCACCGGCUAACUACGUGCCAGCAGCCGCGGUCAUACGUAGGGUGCAAGCAUUAUCCGGAGUGACUGGGCGUAAAGAGUUGCGUAGGUGGUUUGUUAAGUAGAUAGUGAAAUCUGGCGGCUCAACCGUACAGGCUAUUAUCUAAACUGGCAAACUCGAGAAUGGUAGAGGUAACUGGAAUUUCUUGUGUAGGAGUGAAAUCCGUAGAUAUAAGAAGGAACACCAAUGGCGUAGGCAGGUUACUGGACCAUUUCUGACACUGAGGCACGAAAGCGUGGGGAGCGAACCGG